GAGAAAGCGGGGCGAGAGGAUCCGCUCGGGGCUGGCCGGCCCCAGGCAGCGCGCCCCGCACGCCCGGAGCGAGCCGGACGGCGCGGGAAGACGAUACGGCGCUGCCCGCCUGCCGCCGCGCUCCGAGGCCGCCGCCCCCGGCCGGCCGCUCCCAGGCACCGCCGCGACCUGCCCCGGCCGGCCCCGGGCUCUCGGCCGCCGCGGGAGGGCGUGGGGCGGGGCGGCGGCCGCCGGACUCUCCCCUCGCCUCGCCGGGCCGGGCCGGGGCCGCGCUCGGGCGCCCGCGAUCGCCAAGUGACAGAAGUGCCUCGCUCCGCUGCCGCGCCGAGCUGUUUCCCGGGGGCGGAUUUCUCGCUUCUUCCUCCCUGGAUCCACCUCCUCCCACUCCACCUCCUUCCCCUCCCCUCCCCAGGGGAGGCUCUGAGGCUGAAUAUUUUCUGUCUUGAAUAAUACGGUCCCGGGAACCGAGGCUGGAGAAGGGGGAUUAGCCGGGGUAGGGGGUACUCACUCCAACCCCCUCCCAAGGCGUCUCCGACCUGCAAGCCCUCACUGCCUCCCCCCCCCCCCCCCCCCCCGCUCGCUAACACCCCUCCCAGAAACCAGGCUCACACAAAACCUUCCCUGCCUUCUCCUGUCUCCCGAGGGCAGAGCGGGAGCGGCCAGGAGCCGAGGUUUCUACUGGGGAAGACUCGGUGCUUGGCGUCAGGGGCGUCAGGGACAAUUCUAUGACUGGAUUCGCGAAUACAGCUGAAUGAAGCCGGCGCGGCUAGCGGAACUGAGGAAAAGGUGGCUGCGCCGCUCCACUCUACAGGUCAGAGCCGCUCCGGGGACCGAGCGCCACCGCCGCCCCUCCCCACCCAAUUCCGGGGCCUGCCUCAGACCGCUGGCGGCUGGCUCCGCCCCGCCGCGCCUCACAACAUCUCCCGCUGCAAAUGGCCCAAUCGGGAGACGCGAGGAGAAAACAAGAGCCAAUCAGGCGCUGCUGACUCAGGCUUCCCUCCACCCUUGGCCCCUCCCCCGGUAGGAAAAGCCACCGCCCCUCUGUCUCCCCUUCCCACCCCCUCACCCGCCCGGGAGGUGGCUCACCGGCUCCAGUCCCCGUCCGGCUGGAGUGGGGUAGCCCGCUGAGGUGGCGGCGUUUGUCACCUUGUCACCCUCAUCCUCGCCCCCUCCCAGACACACCCCUUCUCCCUUUCCCAGUCCUCCUGCUGGUGCUGUUGAGGGUCAUUUGUAUCCUCACACCGGCAGGGGACCACCAGCUAUUGUGUCUGAUCAGCUGCCACCACCAUCCUGAGGGAAAAGAACAAAACCAAGAAGCUAUGUGAUCUGCUUACCUUUUCCUUCUUUCUUAACCACUCUAUCUCCUGAGAUUUUAAGACGCCUCCCCAUCCCCUGCUCCCUGCCCGCCGCCAGGGGUCCUGUUUCUUGAUUUGGGCGGGAUGGGAGGUGGGGGGGGGGGGGGGACACCACUCCCUGGAGCCUGAAUACCUGUGCCUUAGUUUUUAAUAUUCCUAUGAGUGGAAGGUGACAAACAUUUAGAAUAUACAACUAAAUCUUCGGCCUCAAUUAGAGGAAAGACUUUGACUGGAUCAUCUUUAUAUGGCCGUGAAAUUUGCAUGUUCGUGACAGCCCCUGACAAAACUAGUCAGCCAAUAACAAAGAAAGGAAAAAAAAAAGAGAAUAAAAUAGAGGGGAUGCCUGCCAGUCAUUUGGUAAUUUACUGAAUAGCCCACUGGGCUAUAGCAGUAUCCAGUUCUAGAUACUGUUGAGUAAAUUAACAAGAAGUGAAUAGAAAUGCAGGGUUCAAGUAGCGUACCUCUAGUGGGCUUAUAGAAUAUGUCCAGAAAGGGAAAACAAUUUCAAGCACAAAACAGCUCUUUACAAAUGCAAAUGUGCAUGCAUGGAGUACUUCACCGCUGAGGACAUCUAGGGUUAAGAUUUUUGCAAUGGAAAUUUUCAUAAAUGUUGAUUUUGAAAAAGAUUUUCAGUUUGGUGAAGGAGAGUAAACAUUGGCCAUGGAAGGAGACGUGGAAAGGAGGUUAACCCAUUUUAGGAAGUGUGGAAAAAUAACAUAACCUAGAAAGACAUUUCUAUAAGAGGUAAAAUGGAAGCAUCCAGAUCACAGUCUCGCUCCAUCAUUUACCUUGUGACUUAAGGCAGAUUAUUAUUUAUGUGUCCGAGUACUAGAGCUAUCAAGUAAUAAGAGUGCCUGCCAUCUAUAAAGCACUGCCUCUGUGCUGGGUAUUCCUUCAAGAGCUUUGCACACAACGUAAGGAGAUAGCUGUGUGACAGAGCCAGGAUUAAGCCCAGGCGAUGGGCUCCAGAGUCCGUGCUUUUCUCCACAACACUAUACUCCAACACGAUACUCCAACACGGUUUUUCAUAAUCAUAACAACAAUAUUAACUAACACUUACUUAGCUUAUUAUGCGCUAAUUAGUGUGCUUUGUGGGUAACUAAUUUAAUCUCACCUCUGGGUUAGGCAUGAUUAUGAUGUUCCGUAUUGAGGAAUGUUUUUAAGAGCCAUUAUGAUAAGUUACUGUUAUAUGUAUCUUAUUUCUGUUAGGAUAGGAAUGAUCAUGAUGUUCUAAAAAUUUGGGAAUGUUUUUGAGAACCAUUGUGAUAAAUUGCUAUCAUAUGUAUCUGUGUGUUAGGCUAUCUGGAUGGACAGGGACAGUAGCACAGAACUAAGAGUUGGGAAACCUGGGUCCUAGUCCUUUCCUGGGAUCUCCGAGUAGGACAUCACCUUUCCUAGCUAGCUGGGCUGUUGAGAGUGUCGAAUGACAUAAUACGUGUGAAGGGACUUUCAAAAUGUAAAAACGUUAUUCUGAUUACAUUAUUUGUCUUAUUAUAAAGCAGGUGUUUAUCCUGUCUCCCCGACUGGGAACCCUACUCUUUACAACAUUUUGUUGUUAUGUAUUAGGAACAUUUUAAUCCAGUUAAAAAUUAGGCCAAUUCCUUUCUUGAAGGCAUGAGCAAUAAUAGUAUUUUAUUAACUGUCUGAGCUCUCAUUUAGAUGCAUUCUAAGCAGACCACUGUGGACACUCUCUGGGCAUCUGUAAAGUGGCAGCCAUCAGCCAGUCAUUCGCCAUGCCAAAGGUGUAACUGGUGGAGAAUGUAACUGGUGGAGAAUGUAAACCCUUGGAGUUCCCUUCAGCUGCCCAUCUUGGGCAUUUCACUCAUUAACACCUCCACCAGAGGGAGGGCAAGAGAAAGGAAAAGGAGCCAAACUUCCAUCCUGCGGCUACUUGUUAACUGCUCCAGUGAGAGAUUUGGUGAAACAAUGAGUUUGGGGAUCACUCUAACUGAAAGGAGAUUUGGAACUAACUGUGGGUUUCACAGUUGAUAUCUUGAUAAGUUUUCUUUACCCUAAAUACAAUGGAUAAGCAAGAGCUAACAGUAAUUCCACCUUUGUUUUACUUUGGAAGGCUAAUAUUUUCCUCUUUUGUGCAAAGCCAAUUAAUAAUCUAGCUUCUUAGAAAUUUCCACAGCUAUAUUAAUAAUAACUACCAGACGGUCUUGUACACUAUGAUUCUGACAAUGUAGGCAAGACAUUUUUAAAUAUGGGAACUAUAUCCUUAAAAUGUAACUUUUGACUUUGUUAAUGACACAAUAAUAUUGUUUUGGUGAACCACAAUCAAGGAAAAAUGUCGAAGCCAGAAAUAGAGCCAAGUGUCUUAACCUCUGGUCUAAUGUCAUUCUGUUAUAAACUAUGGAUGAUUUCUACUCUGAAUAUAGAAGCUGGCAAUUCUAAGAGGCACAAGUGUUUGCCAUUGAAUUCCACAGAUGAAAUGUGUAAUUUGGGAUGAAGCAUUUGCAAAACUAUGUGUCUGAGGUAGUUAAGACCAAUGGCUCUCAGAAGAGUGAGCAUUUUUUUUUUUUUUUUUUUGGUUUUAGGACAAUGCUGUAGGCUUCUUUUUCAUACAAUACUAAAAAGAUACGUUACCUGCUAAUAUUUCCUUGAAAAGGCCUUUGAUGUUGAACUGAAUAGCUCCAGAAAGCCCACCUCUCUAGCAAAGCAUUCACUACUGUAAUCAAAAGAAGGGAGUGAUUUUCCACAAUAAAUAAUUUCUAAGAUUC